rnacentral:rRNA from 1 species
AUGGCCAUGUCCAAGCCGCAGCAGGGCGACCCCGCGGGCUUCCUCGACCUCGUCGGCCCGGACCUCUCCGCCUGCGUCUUCGCCCGCCUCCAGGACCCCGCCGACCUCGCCCGCGCCGCCACCGUCUCCCGCCCCUGGCGCAGAUUCGUGGAGGGGAACGGCUUCCUGAAGAAGGUGUGCGUGCGCAAGUUCCCGGAGCUGGCCGUGCUCACGGCCGCGGUGGAGGUGCGCAGGUCGCCCGCCCCCGACCCCGGGCCCGUCGAUGCCAACGCCGCCGCGCAGGCGGAGCACAGGAUCUACUCCCACCUCUACGGCGCGCUCGUCGCCGCCGGGCCCCCCGCCGACUGCAUCCUGCACUGCGUCGGCGCCUCCAGCACCGACAACUUCCCCGACGAGACCAUCGACAACACGCUCGAGCCGCAGGACCGCGUCAACAACCGCUUCUCCUACUGGUCCAGCGCCGGCCAGGACGACCCCGACGUGCCCGAGACGCUCACCUACAGGCUCGCCUCCGACAUCUGCGUCGUCGACGAGAUCAGGAUACAGCCCUUCAAAGCAUUCUUUCAGAUUGGGCAUCCUAUAUACUCUUCAAAGAUGGUGCGGUUCCGGAUGGGCCAUUGCAAACUUCCUCGUCCAUCAGAGUCAUUUAUCACAGAUGAUGAUGAUAACCAAGCAGUAAUUGCUGAUGAAAACUACAUCUGGACUUACACCUCGCCUGAGUUCCUUAUGUUACAGGAAAAUAAACUGCAGACGUUUAAACUCCCGCGCCCAGCCCUGUGCAUUGGUGGCGUAGUAAAGAUUGAGCUGCUGGGAAGAGUGCAGAAACAAGCAACAGAUGAUAGGUAUUACAUAUGUGUCUGCCAUGCUCAAGUGGUCGGGCGUUCGCUCUCACCAGUGUUCAUGGUCGACAUCAACGACUCGGCUGGCUACUCCAUCCUCAAGCACCUGCCAGAGGCCAAGAACCUCAGCGUGGAGGAAGUGAUGCAGGACAGCGCUAGUGACUCGCAGGAGUGGAAGGACGCUCUGGCCAGCUACAGGGAGACGAGUCAUCUGGCCACCGCCCUCAUGAACGUGCUCCACGAGGGGGCCGCGCACCCCGCGCAGGACCAGCAAGGGGACGCGCCGCACUUCCCGCAUGGCGCGGCGCUUCUGCAAGAGAUCCAAGCAAUGCAGGGAGAUGCGAACCUCAUGCAGCAGCUGCAGGUGGACGCGCAGCUCCUGUAUUUGCUGCAAGACGGUGUGCUGCAACUGCAGGACGAUGAAGAUGGUCUACAGGCCAUGGACGAAGAUGAUGAUGCGGACGGCGGCGGCGUGUCGGACAACGACCCCUUCGCCUAG